rnacentral:rRNA from 1 species
AUUGAACGCUGGCGGCAUGCUUUACACAUGCAAGUCGAACGGGGUGGAGGGGCAACUCUCCAUUCAGUGGCGAACGGGUGAGUAAUGCAUCGGAACGUGUCCCGUAGUGGGGGAUAACGCCGCGAAAGCGGCGCUAAUACCGCAUACGCUCUACGGAGGAAAGCAGGGGACCCGCGAGGGCCUUGUGCUAGGGGGGCGGCCGAGGUCCGAUUAGCUUGUUGGUGGGGUAAUGGCCCACCCAGGCGACGAUCGGUAGCUGGUCUGAGAGGAUGAUCAGCCACACUGGGACUGAGACACGGCCCAGACUCCUACGGGAGGCAGCAGUGGGGAAUUUUGGACAAUGGGGGCAACCCUGAUCCAGCCAUGCCGCGUGCGGGAAGAAGGCCUUCGGGUUGUAAACCGCUUUUAGCCGGGACGAAAGCUCUACGGAUAACACCCGUGGGGGUUGACGGUACCGGCGGAAUAAGCACCGGCUAACUACGUGCCAGCAGCCGCGGUAAGAC